rnacentral:rRNA from 1 species
CAUGGCUCAGGACGAACGCUGGCGGCGUGCCUAAUACAUGCAAGUCGAACGGUGAAGAAGGAGCUUGCUCUUUAAGAUUAGUUGCUAACGGGUGAGUAACGCGUAGGUAACCUGCCUGGUAGCGGGGGAUAACUAUUGGAAACGAUAGCUAAUACCGCAUAAUAGUAGAUGUUGCAUGACAUUUGCUUAAAAGGUGCAAUUGCAUCACUACCAGAUGGACCUGCGUUGUAUUAGCUAGUUGGUGGGGUAACGGCUCACCAAGGCGACGAUACAUAGCCGACCUGAGAGGGUGAUCGGCCACACUGGGACUGAGACACGGCCCAGACUCCUACGG